GGGAACAGGAAGCUGAGAGGUCUCAUCUUUAAACCUCAGGCCCAGCAGAGAGAAUUAAAAAUGGGUGAAGAUUAAAAACUCCCAAAGCCACCUUCAGUGACAUACAUGUUCCAGUAAACUACACCUCCCCAAAGAGUGCCACCAACUGGAAAACAACUGCUUAAAAGCCCAAGUCUAUGAGAGUCAUUGUUGUAAACAAAGCUUCAUUGAGUACCUUUACUGCUUAUUGCUGUCUGCCCUAAAGGAAAUAUUCCUGGAAAUGACCUUGCAAGAGAAAGAGGAUGUAUUAAAUUUUAAUAGCUGCUGCCAGAUAUAAAGUCAAUGAUCUAACUUUGAUAUAACAAUCUUUGAAGAGAAAGAAGACUGACACUUAUUUUUCUCAUUGAAGUGAAACUUUAAAAGUUUCUGAAUGGAAUGAAAAGUUGUGGAAGGCAAUAAAAUUCUCAUUAUUCAUUGGAAA